rnacentral:tRNA from 1 species
GAAGGUAUAGUUCAGUGGUAGAGUGAGUGCCUAGCAUGCGUGAGGUUCUGGGUUCAGUCCCCAGUCCCUCCG